rnacentral:rRNA from 1 species
AUGCAAGUCGAGCGCGGAAGAAUCUCUCGGGAUUUUGAAGAGUGGCGAACGGGUGAGGAACACGUAAGAAUCUACCUUUCGGUUGGGGAUAACUUCUGGAAACGGGAGCUAAUACCCAAUAUGCUGUGGAGUGAAAGAAUUUCGCCGAAAGACGAUCUUGUGUCUGAUUAGCUAGUUGGGGUGGUAAUGGCACACCAAGGCGACGAUCAGUAGCUGGUCUGAGAGGAUGGACAGCCACAUUGGGACUGAGACACGGCCCAGACUCC